rnacentral:rRNA from 1 species
GACGAACGCUGGCGGCGUGCUUAACACAUGCAAGUCGAACGGAAAGGGCCUGCUUGCAUGGUACUCGAAUGACGAACGGGUGAGUAACUCGUGGGUGAUCUGCCCUGCACUUCGGGAUAAGCCAGGUAAACUAGGUAUAGUACCGGCUAGGUGCAAUUUUUAGAGAGAUGGUUGGAGAGUGUGUGUGGUGUAGGCUGGACUCGCGGCUUAUCAGCUGGUUGGUGGGUUAAUGGCCUACCAAGGGGGCGACCGGUAGCCGGCCUGAGAGCGUGGACGGCGACAAUGCGACUGCGGGAGGGACCAGAAGCGAACGUGAGGCAGCAGUGGAGAGUAUUGCACAAUGGGCGCAAGCCUGAUGCAGAGGCGCCGCGUGCGUGAUGACGGGCUUGGAGUGGUGAACGCCGGUCGCUAGGGACGAAGCAUUUAGUGACGGUACCUAGAUAAGAAGCAACGGCUAACUACGUG